CCUACGGGGUGCAGCAGUGGGGAAUAUUGCACAAUGGGGGGAACCCUGAUGCAGCGACGCCGCGUGAGUGAAGAAGUAAUUCGGUACGUAAAGCUCUAUCAGCAGGGAAGAAAAUGACGGUACCCGACCAAGAAGCCCCGGCUAACUACGUGCCAGCAGCCGCGGUAAUACGUCGGGGGCGAGCGUUAUCCGGAAUUACUGGGUGUAAAGGGAGCGUAGACGGCGAGGUAAGCCUGAAGUGGAAGCCCGCGGCCGAACCGCGGAACUGCUUUGGGAACUGGUUGGCUGGAGUAUGGGAGGGGUAAGCGGAAUUCCUGGUGUAGCGGUGAAAUGCGUAGAUAUCAGGAGGAACACCGGUGGCGAAGGCGGCUUACUGGACCGUAACUGACGUUGAGGCUCGAAAGCGUGGGGAGCGAACAGGAUUAGAUACCCCUGUAGUC
rnacentral:rRNA from 1 species